rnacentral:antisense_RNA from 1 species
GAAAAAGAAAACGUCCCAGGUCUGUUAAAGCACUAAGAAAAGCAGAAAAAGAAAGGGGAACUGGGGAAGGGCUAACAGGCUGUGAAAUUUAAGGGAGCACCAGAAAAACUGGCAAUCAAAUAAUAUAUUAAUGUAAUAUUUUAAAAGGUAAAAAUAUUUAAAAGGUAAAAAAAUACUUUGUUCCGGGAGGAACAAAAUAAGAGUCAUGUGUACCUUAACAACAGGGAAAGGUCUGAGGAUUGCGUCAUUAGGCGAUUUUGUUGCUGUGCGAACACCAUAGAAUGUACUUUCACGACCUAGAUGGUAGAGCCUGGCCACACCUCGGCUGUGUGGUGUGGCCUGUUGCUUCCAGGCUGCAAACCUGACAGCAUGGGGCGAUACUGAAUACCGCAGACCAUUGUAAUUCAUGGGGAAAGCACGAACACAGUCCCCCACUACAACAAAUUAUGCAGUCGAGUUUUCCACAUUUGGGGAUAUCGCAGGGGUCAGCACAUCCGGAGUGCAAUCGAUGAGCCUCACACUGGGAAAAACCACCUUCGUGAUCAUGAUAUCUUCCCUGCCAGAGAGAAACCAAUCAGCUUCAUUUUCAACUUCUUCUAUGACUCCAGAGGAUUCACUUUGCAUCUUGUGACAAAUGAAGAUAUUACCUGGAAAAAAAAAAAAGACAGGAUAGAUGUAAGUAAUGAUUU